rnacentral:lncRNA from 1 species
GAAGAUGAUAUCAUUAAAUCUAAGGAAAUGAAUUACAAACUAUAUUGAAUGAAGCAAGAACCUCAAACAAUCCCAGGGAAUCUCCUUCUCUCACUAGCUAAAUGCUAAGAGCCAAGAACAUUGAACAAUACUUAAUCGACAUCCCCAAAAUGAAAUUACUCUCCCCUCUUUAUUCUACUCUCUCUCUCUCUCUCUCUCUCCCUAACUGACUUUCUAGCCACUUUCCAUUUUUGCCCUUCUGCCCUUUCUAGAAUGCACAUGUAAUAUUCCUAGUUUAUUUAUAUCAAGGCCCAACCAUUCUGAAUCUGUAUCAUUACUCCCUCCUUCAAAGAAAGUCUUGUCCUCAAGACUUGCUUGAAGACUUUGACAACUAAUAGCCCAUCCAUCUGCCAGUGUAUUGUCUCCUACUGUACCUCCUUUCCACCUAAUUAACCAUAGAUGCAGUUGGUCCAGGUAAUGCUUAAACAUAUGAAUAGUCGACAUUUCUGCUCUUUUGGUAUUUGCAAUUGUACUUCCUAUCCACGGAAUGAUCCAUUGAUCUACCGUAAGUGGCCUCAAUCCGUCAUCAUGGCUGUGCCAUUCUUCCCUCCUUGCUUGUACCCAAACGCUAUUCUCUACAUGUUGAACUACCAUUGAAGUGUUCCGAUUAUACCCAAUUUCAUAUGUAAACUUUUCGGUGGACUGAUUGAAAGUAGAAUUAGUCCCAUGUUUUGUCCACGUAAUCCAAUUAGAACACCAAUGGAGUAGAUCCAGCAAAUGACAGAUCACUUCCCAAACAAGAUUUUUGGUAAUCAACUCUGCCAUAUACCUAGAUGGUAGCUCCUGCAUUUGGCUUGAACAUAAACUAACUUCUGUAUCCCAAUUGUGGAUUACUUUUCCAAAAGAUGUGAGCCAUUCCAUUCCCAAAAUCAAGUCAGUGUUACCAUACUUAGAAACUAAUGACUUCACUUCAAUUGAACAACAUCCUAAUUGAAUGAUUAACUCCACACAUAAGUCGAUCACAAACACCAAUUGAUUAUCACUCUGUCCUGAUUGAGAAUUAGCAACAACUCCAAAUAACUCAAAAAUUUGACACUGUCCCACAAAAACAUUCUUUGACAAUUGAUCAAUUGGUACCUGAUUAGCAUCCCACGCAUAGUGAUUGCAGUCUUCUUUGCAUUUAUGACAUUUGUGAGACAAGCCGACUAGAGAACCACCAUGAAAACUUGGGUCCUUUUUCUUUCGUUCCUUCCAUUCCGUGCGACUCGACGAUCUAACUCUCCGAUCCCAUUGAAACACAUAAGCCAUUGUCGGCGUUGGGGAAGGUGAUGGCAGCUGAUUAGGAUAGAUGUGGUUAUUUUCAUUCCAAUUAACAAAGCGUUGAUCAGUGGCCUUAUUAACUAGUGGGUUUAUAUUUUGUUUUCUCGUUAAAACCCAGUCUAUCUUUCGAUUUAACAAUUGUGAGCCCCAUGAAUCAAUUGCAGCCCAAUUGUAAUUUUUAAGCCCAUUGGAAGGGUAACCUAGAUAACCCCAUUCUAAACGGUUGUUAAACGGAGUCGUUUUCUCCCAAGAGCUCCGUUUGGACUCCAUCAUCGUUCCCCCGUACUUUUUGUCAAUUCUCGACAGCAGGGGUGGUGGUGGUGGUGAUGGCGGCGGCAAUGGUGACGGAGGCGGCGGUCUACUAAUUGGAAUCAUCACUUUCUUUGCUGCUUCCUUUUUUUCAAUUCCAAAUUUAAUCUCCGUGAAAUACUUCUCAUAAUCUCCCGGUUGUUCCAUUCCUACAAUCCAGGUAUUUAGAUACUUUCCGUUAAGGUUGAGGGUGGAUUGGAUUGUAAACUUCUCUUUCAUUUCACCUUGAUUCGAGAUUAAUCCCAUUGGCUUUCCAUAUUUUUCUUCUUCCAUGGUCGUUAGUGGCAGUGGUGAUGGUAGGCACGACGUUAGGUUUGGCGGUAGAGUCUGAGGGGUUGUUUUGGAUUCCGAUUCUGACUCAUAAACCCCCAAUAAUACUUCAUCUCCAUCAGGUGGUGAUAUUUCGUUGCUUUCACGAUCUAUUUCAUCCAAAAUCAUUGAAGAUGCCACCGAAGGCAAACCCAACGAUGCGACCUGAACGACACGGGAAGUAGGAUGAGACUGGAAACCGCUAACUAUGCCAGACGAAUCCCUAGAAGCAUCAUCAACCACCGACUUUGGUAAUGUCCCAGUCGGAUCGGAAACAAUGCUAAUAUAUGAGAAAAACUCUGGAUCCUGUUGCUUCAUCCAAUCAAGCAGUACUUCACGAAACGCAACCUCUUCUACCCGUUCUGAGGCCAUAGAUGUCCUGAUUUCCUGUAUGUCUUCGUGAAUCCUUGCUAUUUGCUUAUCAUGAUGAUCCAGACGCUGAGAGACAGAUUUAGUUUCCACCAAUGGUUGCACCAUUGUUACUCAACUCCGACAGGUCAAGGCAGGUCGGACCAAUGAUGAAAAAUAGAAAUCAAUAGAUAAUGAAACUAAAGAGAAACAGGAAGAAUCAGAGAAAAAGAAGAUGAUAUCAUUAAAUCUAAUGAAAUGAAUUACAAACUAUAUUGAAUGAAGCAAGAACCUCAAACAAUCCCAGGGAAUCUCCCUCUCUCACUAGCUAAAUGCUAAGAGCCAAGAACAUUGAACAAUACUUAAUCGACAUCCCCAAAAUGAAAUUACUCUUCCCUCUCUCUCUCUCUCUCUCUCUCUCUCUCUCUCUCCCACCUAACUGACUUUCUAGCCACUUUCCAUUUUUGCCCUUCUGCCCUUUCUAGAAUGCACAUGUAAUAUUCCUAGUUUAUUUAUAUCAAGGCCCAACCAUUCUGAAUCUGUAUCAGACUACUGUUGAAAAGGUGGUAGAUAGUAUUUAGUCUAUUAUUUUCACUUGGCUAAAGUUUAGGAGAGAUAAACGUUCAUAUGUUUGGGCGGAAUGGUGUUCUUGUCCGCUAUCCUGUUUGUAAACUUUCUUUCUUUAUUCCCUUUGGUCUAGCUUCUUGUUAGAUUUGGUGAGUUUUAUUAAUAUAUUUGCCGGUUCAAAAAAAAAACUAAUAAGUUGUUUUGCCAAAUAUCCCAUGUAUUUUCACCAAAUUUUAUUGUUUCAUAUUGUAAAAAAUGGCCACAAACAUGCUAAAAAGUAUGAACGAACCCAAGGUAAAACAUGGGGUUCAUUUGUCAUAUAGAAACCCCAUGAUUGUAAUUAAUUUAUAUAAGUUAUAACUGUCUCCACUGAGUAUUAAUCGUUAAGUAUGCACGAAUAGAAUGUGAAACCAAAAUUGUUCGUCCCAAUUUGAUUUUCAUAAAGCUAGUCCUAUUUCUUUCAUGAUAUUACUUUUAGUCUUGUGAACAGCAA